rnacentral:lncRNA from 1 species
AUAAACUAUCUACACAAAUCGAGCAGAUCGUGAGUGUCUUACGUGAAUAUUUAUAAGGCCUGUACAUGAUCAUACAGUAAUUUCACUUGGCGAUAGAGAACACGCACGUAUACGAGGAGAAAAUGAAGGUCCUCCUUUUACUUUGCAUUGUUCAAGGAUGUUUCGGUGCUGCGAUUGUUAGAAAACGGUCAGUUUGUGCCGAUUUUUGUCCUGAAUACUAUUCACCAGUUUGUGCAUCAAACGGAAAAACGUAUUCAAACAAAUGUUUUCUAAGUGCGGCCACAUUGACAGUUCGAUUCAGUUCGUUAGUGCAGGAAGGUGUGAUUCCACAUCCGGCGGCUCUAGUAGUCCUUGCCCGGCAAUGAUGUGUAUCGCGGUGUAUGAUCCAGUUUGUGGGACAGACGGAAAAACAUACAGUAACACGUGCAAAUUGACAUCAACGCAUUGUCAUGGAGAAGUAACUGUUGCCCAUCAUGGUGCAUGUACCGGAGCUCUCCUUGUCAGUUAAAUGAUGAGAUUUUACUGUAUUAAUACUUCCAUUGAAAAUUAAAGUCCAUCUGCGUCCCAAG